CCUACGGGUGGCUGCAGUGGGGAAUAUUGCACAAUGGGGGAAACCCUGAUGCAGCGACGCCGCGUGAGUGAAGAAGUCUUUCGGGAUGUAAAGCUCUAUCAGCAGGAACGAGACAAGACGGUACCUGACUAAGAAGCCCCGGCUAACUACGUGCCAGCAGCCGCGGGAAUACGAAGGGGGCAAGCGUUAUCCGGAAUCACUGGGUGUAAAGGGAGAGUAGACGGCUGAGCAAGCCUGAAGGGAAAGGCGGGGGACCAACCCCCUGACUGCUUUGGGAACUGUACGGCUGGAGUGCAGGAGAGGUAAGUGGAAUUCCUAGUGUAGCGGUGAAAUGCGUAGAUAUUAGGAGGAACACCAGUGGCGAAGGCGGCUUACUGGACUGUAACUGACGUUGAGGCUCGAAAGCGUGGGGAGCAAACAGGAUUAGAUACCCCUGUAGUC
rnacentral:rRNA from 1 species